UACGUAGGGGGCAAGCGUUGUCCGGAAUCACUGGGCGUAAAGGGUCCGUAGGCGGUUUGUUAAGUCUCUUGUGAAAACUUCGGGCUCAACCCGGAGAGGUCGGGGGAUACUGGCAAACUCGAGACUGUCAGAGGCAGGUGGAAUUCCCGGUGUAGUGGUGAAAUGCGUAGAUAUCGGGAGGAACACCAGUGGCGAAAGCGGCCUGCUGGGGCAGUUCUGACGCUGAGGGACGAAAGCGUGGGUAGCAAACCGG
rnacentral:misc_RNA from 1 species